GUUGAUUACCAAGCAUGUACCUGUGAGGGACUGGCCUCCUGCUGCUGGGAAAAAAGACUAUGCCGGGAAGAUUACAAAAGAAUAUCAUGAAGGUGUCUGAAGAGGAGGAUCGCUUGGACAGUUGACUGAAUGGGAGAACAUAACAUAGAUUAGCAUGAUGCCACCAACAGCUAGGAUGACUGACACAGGUUUAAUUCCUUCCUUGUCAUGAAACACCAGUUAGAGAGAAGAAAAGAAAAAGAAGAAAAAGGAAGAGAGAGCGAGAGAAAGAUUUCUCUAGACGAAGAAAUUACACAUGUAUUUCUGCAUCUUCACCGAUAGUCCAAUUAUCCAUGUUCUCAUAACUUGUCGUUUCAAGUCGGUAUUGCGUGGUGCUUCUGAGAUUUGAGAAUGUUUAUUGAAAACAAAUACAUGUGAUAAGCAUUCUUAAUUAUUGACAAUACAUAAAUACGACCAGGGGCUGCCGACAAUAGUCAUUUAAUGGCUCUCAACAGUUUAAGGUCUAUGUGCUGUGCACAGGUCCGAGAAGCGAAGAUUGAGUCUAACGAAUAAAAUAUAAAGUGAGGGGAGGGGUUGAUACACGAAUGAGGAUGUUACAGAUGAAAGGAUUGGAAUGUGAAAGGGUAAAAGGGUGGGGAAGAAGAGAGCGAUGUCUCCGCCUCCUUCUGUAGAACCACGAUAUGAAAACUAUAUAUUUUUAAAAUGAACCAGUGAAAAGAGGAAAAGUCAGCUAAUCGCACAGCGGCAUACAUCUUUUGCUGAUCAACACCCGGGUAGAAUUUAUGGGGGAGGCGGCGCUAGCUUGUGUUGAUUACCCGGGUAGAAGGAAAGGGUGGAAGCCGAAAGGUCUUCUGAAGUCCAAUCUCCCUUUCUGUGUUGAUGUUUUGAAUCGCAGUGUAUAUCCAGUUUGAGGACGAAUUUUAGUGAUCAAAUUUUACUCUUUCGCUUGGAAUACAUCGAUGAUUAUGUGAACAGAGGACAUCACAACAGUGGAAUGUGAGUUAGAAAAACGAGCGCAAAAAAUUGUCUGUCAGAGGCAGGCUGUGUUGUUUUGUCGCCGUUGGCGGUCUGGAGACACAGAAGGGAUGUUCAGUUCAGAUGGCCGGCCUUCCGUUACUGGAUCAAUCCGUGGCCGGGUCAGUGGUUCCAAGUUCGCUGGUCCUACCUACCAUCUGUACCGUGGGUCCAAGUCACUUUUCUGGAGAGGUCGAGGUUCCACUUGAGCUGGAGAUUCGUUGCAAUACGCAGAGCAGUGUGUAGAGGAAUCGUCAGUCACGAAUUAAAACUCCACAGAGGAUGAAGUCUAGAAGAAAGAAAGCCAUGUUGUCCAAAGCUUACAGAAAGUUUUUCUAGACAAUGAAUAUGCGACACAUUUUUUUUUUUACUCCCCUUGUAACGAAAGUUCGACGGUCAAGGCUGACAGGAGAACCAACACCUGUCUCCAAACCAGGUGAAGCCAAGUGGAUCAGAUGGUCGUGAUGGACGAAACUCUGCUUGGAAUCUGGGUGGUGUCUGACACAUGAGCUCCUAACUCACAGUCGUUACCCUUCGUUUACCAGCAAACCUGGGCCUCAGGGUGAAAGUAUUCACCUCUCACCACAACAAAGACUUUAUACAAUAUAUUACCUUUGGCAACACUUUAUGGCAAGAGGACAGAGCUGUAAUAUUGUUUAGGAACCAUUCGAUCUACUUCGAAUAUUAAAACAAAAACACAUCAUGU